UAGAAAUAAAGGCUGGAAUGUUCCAUAGGAACUCGGAGCAUGGGACAGAGGGGCCCAGCACACACUCUGUGUGGGCUGUUGAAAGCCAGUCCCUUGGCUUUCCUCUGUGACUCUAAAUAGGUGAAAUCACAUUACCCUGCAGCAGCCAGUAACUAUUUCCAUGACACUGCCCAGCAUCUGUGCUCAGUGUGCCUGGGUUCACCCGAUGAAAACAAAGUAGAACGCAGUCCAGGCUCUCCGUGUCCAGCUAAUGUCCACCCAGUGUCAGCCUGACAGAGACUGUGGUGACCGAGAGAAAAUGCUUGAGAUUUAAGGACUGAUCUAUUGGACUAUCCCAGAAAGAAAGGAGCAGCCUGCCCCAGAUCCCCAAGAGACAACAUCUUGAGCGCAUAUGUUAUGCUGGGCUCUGCAUUGACAGAUCCAAGAACUCCAGCGCAAAAUCACCAAAGUUCCCAAGUUAAAAAUGAAAGUAAGAUCAUCAAAAUUGGUAUUCUUAUUGCGACAUUCCCAGCAACUUCAUAAACAGCCAUGAAAGUGGACAGCACCGCAGGGACCUCAGGCUGCUUCGUGAGCUGUUCCUCGCUCAGGCAGUGCACUGCUCGGGGGAAGAGACCUGUGAGGUGCUGUGAGAUGGGAGCGAGCCAACUGCCGGAGGAAGAGAGCCGAC